rnacentral:tRNA from 8 species
GGUGGAAUAGCCAAGUGGUUAAGGCAAAGGUCUGCAAAACCUUGAUCUCCGGUUCAAUCCCGGAUUCCACCU